GGGCUAGUAAUGGUUUCGACGGGGUACGUGAAGUUGGAGAAGCGAGCCGUAUGCAAUGCGUUAAAUGGCACAAUUAAAAUUAAACGCUGAAGAUAAUAAUUUAGCAUUAGCUGCCUAGUUGCAGCAGUCUGACUUAGUGCACCUACACAUUAAGACCCAGGCUUCGAACAUGUAGGAAACGACAUAGGUUAAGCUUUGCACUUAUGGGCGUAUUAUGAAGCUACUGAAGUUGUUAGGGUGUUAGUCCUCGAACAACGGAGGGAAUGUUAAAGGACUUACUACACUCGUAGAAGUACAAUGAAUCGUAUUUCGGACAUGGGUUCGACUCCCAUCUAGUCCACUU
rfam:Lachnobacterium bovis DSM 14045 genome assembly, contig: IE72DRAFT_scaffold00004.4